AAAUUGAAGAGUUUGAUCAUGGCUCAGAUUGAACGCUGGCGGGCAGGCCCAACACACGCAAGUCGAACGGUAGCACAGAGGAGCUGCCCUUGGGUGACGAGUGGCGGACGGGUGAGUAAUGUUCGGGAAACUGCCCGAUGGAGGGGGAUAACUAGCUGGAAACGGUAGCUAAUAUCGCAUGCAUCAUGAGACCAAAGAGGGGGACCUUCGGGCCUCUUGCCAUCGGAUGUGCCCAGAUGGGAUUAGCUAGUAGGUGGGGUAACGGCUCACCGCGACGAUCCCUAGCUGGUCUGAGAGGAUGACCAGCCACACUGGAAUUGAGACACGGUCCAGAUCUACGGGCGCAGCAGUGGGGAAUAGAAAUAAUGGCGCAAGCCUGAUGCAGCCAUGCCGCGUGUAUGAAGAAGGCCUUCGGGUUGUAAAGUACUUUCAGCGAGGAGGAAGGUGAUGUGGUUAAUAACCGCAUCAAUUGACGUUACUCGCAGAAGAAGCACCGGCGACCCGUGCCAGCAGCCGCGGUACGAGGGUGCAAGGAAGUUAAUCGGAAUUAAUAAGGUAAAGCGCACGCAGGCGGUCUGUCAAGUCGGAUGAAAUCCCCGGGCUCAACCUCGGGAAACUGCAUCCGAAACUGGCAGGCUAGAGUCUUGUAGAGGGGGGUAGAAUUCCAGGUGUAGCGGUGAAAUGCGUAGAGAUCUGGAGGAAUACCGGUGGCGAAGGCGGGCCCCCUCGACAAAGACUGACGCCAGGUGCGAAAGCGGAGCAAACAGACGAUACUCCCAGAAUCACAAACGAUGUCGACUUGGAGGUUGUUCCCUUGAGGAGUGGCUUCCGGAGCUAACGCGUUAAGUCGACCGCCUGGGGAGUACGGCCGCAAGGUUAAAACUCAAAUGAAUUGACGGGGGCCCGCACAAGCGGUGGAGCAUGUGGUUUAAUUCGAUGCAACGAAGAACUUUACCUACUCUUGACAUCCAGAGAACUUAGCAGAGAUGCUUUGGUGCCUUCGGAACUCUGAGACAGGUGCUGCAGUGGCUGUCGGAUGUCACCAGGAGCUGCAUGAGCCCGCCUGGCCCACACUGUCAGUCCCACAUCCUGUGUUUGCAUGGUCUGGCUGGGAACCAAAGAGACGCUGCAAGAAUGCUCCUUGAUGGCAAAGACUAAUCUGGUUACCAGUGUCUUACAUAGAACACUCCACUCUGCAAAUGCAAAUGAAAGCACUAUGCGUUUUUUUAAUCCAGGUAAAGUUAUGCUGUAGCUGGAUUGGAGCUGCAAAACCCAAUCCGCCGGAAUCGCUAGUAAUCGUAGGAUUAAUGCCACGGUGAACAUGUCUGGCCUGCAUACACCGCCCGUCACACCAUGGAGUGGGUUGCAAAAGAAGUAGGUAGCUUAACCUUCAAGAGGGCUACCACUUUGUGAUUCAUGACUGGGGUGAAGUCGUAACAAGGUAACCGUAGGGGAACCUGCGGUUGAUCACCUCCU
rnacentral:rRNA from 1 species